UACGAAGGGGGCAAGCGUUGUUCGGAAUUACUGGGCGUAAAGGGCGCGUAGGCGGUGCGUUAAGUUAGGCGUGAAAGCCCUGGGCUCAACCCGGGAACUGCGCUUGAUACUGGCGCGCUAGAAUCCAGGAGAGGUUGGUGGAAUUCCCAGUGUAGAGGCGAAAUUCGUAGAGAUUGGGAAGAACACCGGUGGCGAAGGCGGCCAACUGGACUGGUAUUGACGCUGAGGCGCGAAAGCGUGGGGAGCGAACAGG
rnacentral:rRNA from 1 species